rnacentral:lncRNA from 1 species
UACAGAUUCUAUAUAAAGUAGUAAGCUAUCAAUUACCAUAUGUUAGGAUCUAAUCUCCUAAUUAUAUCUGUAUCUCUAUAAGUGGCGAUCAACAGGAAAAUCCCAAUAAGCAAGUUUGCAAGAUUAAGCAGUGGGGGAUUUGUGGAACUUUUUGUGCUCUUGGCGGUUGAUCUGGUCAACGCAGUCACUGAAUUUGAUUUUCCUCAGACACUUCCAAUCUCCUCCUCUUGGAUGGAUUACCAGCUAAAUUGUACUCUUCGUGUUCUAGUUCCUGCUGAACCUUUUCGAAACAGGGUUCUUCACCGUUCUGAACUUCGGUAUAAGAAGAAUAAUCAACAAUCAAUGAGUCAGCCCAUUCUUCAUCUUUCGUUUGGAAGAACGGAAAUUCAAAUUGGAUAGAUUUAUGAGGCUCUUCACCAUUCUGAACCUGGGCAUAGGAAAGAUCUGCAUC